rnacentral:rRNA from 1 species
CAGCCGCCGCGGGAAAACGGAGGGUGCAAGCGUUAAUCGGAAUUACUGGGCGUAAAGCGCACGCAGGCGGUCUGACAAGUCAGAUGUGAAAUCCCCGGGCUUAACCUGGGAACUGCAUUUGAAACUGUCAGGCUGGAGUCUUGUAGAGGGGGGUGGAAUUCCAGGUGUAGCGGUGAAAUGCGUAGAGAUCUGGAGGAAUACCGGUGGCGAAGGCGGCCCCCUGGACAAAGACUGACGCUCAGGUGCGAAAGCGUGGGGAGCAAACAGGAUUAGAGACCCGCGUAGUCCCUGUCUCUUAUAC